rnacentral:lncRNA from 1 species
AAGAUCAAGCUGGUGGUCUAUGGUGAAAAUGUGCAUCACUGUGUUAGGCAUCAUCAGAAACUACCACGUAGAUUAAGGUAAGUUUGUAUUUGAAAAGCCCCAUCUGCAAGGUGGAGACCACAGAAUCUGGAAAAUUCUCUUGUGUAGCCAUCGCCCUUGUUAGGACACACGUUCCUGUCGUCUCAAAGCUUUUCCCCCACUCUUUGGUGUUCUUUCACCUGUGA